GAGAGGACGUUGCGUGCUCGCUCGCGCCAGGCGAGUCUCCGCGUCUCCCUCGCGAACUCGGUGAAAGGAAUUGGCGCCGUUCGACACCAGGCGGGUCCGCUCUGCAGCACGAACCCACCUCCAGCCGCAGCCGCAGCCGCCGCCCGGGCCGAGGAGCAGCCGCAGCAGCCGCCACCAGUGGCCGAGUGAGCGGAGCCGAGUUUGAGCCAGCGCCUAGCGGUGAAUCGGGGCCCUCACCAUGAGUUCCUCGCCUGUUAAUGUAAAAAAGCUGAAGGUCUCGGAGCUGAAAGAGGAGCUCAAGAAGCGGCGCCUUUCCGACAAGGGUCUCAAGGCCGAGCUCAUGGAGCGACUCCAGGCCGCGCUGGACGACGAGGAGGCCGGCGGCCGCCCCGCCAUGGAGCCCGGGAACGGCAGCCUAGACCUGGGCGGGGAUUCCGCCGGGCGCUCGGGAGCAGGCCUCGAGCAGGAGGCCGCGGCCGGCGGCGACGAGGAGGAGGAGGAGGAGGAAGAGGAGGAGGAAGGGAUCGCCGCGCUGGAUGGCGACCAGAUGGAGCUAGGGGAGGAGAACGGGGCCGCGGGGGCGGCCGACUCGGGCCCGAUGGAGGAGGAGGAGGCCGCCUCGGAAGACGAGAACGGCGACGAUCAGGGCUUCCAGGAAGGGGAAGAUGAGCUCGGCGACGAGGAGGAAGGCGCGGGCGACGAGAACGGGCACGGGGAGCAGCAGCCUCAACCGCCGGCGACGCCGCAGCAACAGCCCCCACAGCAGCGCGGGGCCGCCAAGGAGGCCGCGGGGAAGAGCAGCGGCCCCACCUCGCUGUUCGCGGUGACGGUGGCGCCGCCCGGGGCGAGGCAGGGCCAGCAGCAGGCGGGAGGUAAGAAGAAGGCGGAAGGCGGCGGAGGCGGCGGUCGCCCCGGGGCUCCGGCGGCGGGAGACGGCAAAACAGAGCAGAAAGGCGGAGAUAAAAAGAGAGGUGUGAAAAGACCUCGAGAAGAUCAUGGCCGUGGAUAUUUUGAGUACAUUGAAGAGAACAAGUAUAGCAGAGCCAAAUCUCCCCAGCCACCUGUUGAAGAGGAAGAUGAGCACUUCGAUGACACAGUGGUUUGUCUUGAUACUUAUAAUUGUGAUCUACAUUUUAAAAUAUCAAGAGACCGCCUCAGUGCUUCUUCCCUUACUAUGGAGAGUUUUGCUUUUCUUUGGGCCGGAGGAAGGGCAUCUUAUGGUGUGUCCAAAGGCAAAGUCUGUUUUGAGAUGAAGGUUACAGAGAAGAUCCCAGUAAGGCAUUUAUAUACAAAAGAUAUUGACAUACAUGAAGUUCGGAUUGGCUGGUCACUAACCACAAGUGGAAUGUUGCUUGGUGAAGAAGAAUUCUCUUAUGGGUAUUCUCUUAAAGGAAUAAAAACCUGCAACUGUGAGACUGAAGAUUAUGGAGAGAAAUUUGAUGAAAAUGAUGUGAUAACAUGUUUUGCUAACUUUGAAAGCGAUGAAGUAGAACUCUCCUAUGCAAAGAACGGGCAAGAUCUUGGCAUUGCCUUCAAAAUCAGUAAGGAAAUUCUUGCUGGAAGGCCACUCUUCCCGCAUGUUCUCUGCCACAACUGUGCAGUUGAAUUUAAUUUUGGUCAGAAGGAAAAGCCAUAUUUUCCAAUACCAGAAGAUUAUACUUUUAUCCAGAAUGUCCCCUUAGAGGAUCGAGUUAGAGGACCAAAGGGGCCUGAAGAGAAGAAAGAUUGUGAAGUUGUUAUGAUGAUUGGCUUGCCUGGAGCUGGGAAAACCACCUGGGUUACUAAACAUGCGGCAGAAAAUCCUGGUAAAUACAACAUUCUCGGAACAAACACCAUAAUGGAUAAAAUGAUGGUGGCAGGUUUUAAGAAACAGAUGGCUGAUACUGGAAAACUGAACACGCUGUUGCAGAGGGCUCCACAGUGUCUCGGAAAGUUUAUUGAGAUCGCUGCCCGUAAGAAGCGAAAUUUCAUUCUGGAUCAGACCAACGUGUCUGCUGCUGCCCAGAGGAGAAAAAUGUGCCUGUUUGCAGGCUUCCAGCGAAAAGCUGUCGUAGUUUGCCCAAAAGAUGAAGACUAUAAGCAAAGAACACAGAAGAAAGCUGAAGUAGAGGGGAAAGACCUACCAGAACACGCUGUCCUCAAAAUGAAAGGAAACUUCACGCUGCCGGAGGUGGCCGAGUGCUUUGAUGAAAUCACCUAUGUUGAGCUGCAGAAGGAGGAAGCCCAAAAACUUCUGGAGCAGUAUAAGGAGGAGAGCAAAAAGGCGCUGCCGCCGGAAAAGAAACAGAACACUGGCUCCAAGAAGAGCAAUAAAAAUAAGAGUGGCAAGAACCAGUUCAACAGAGGCGGCGGCCACAGAGGACGUGGCGGGUUCAACAUGCGCGGCGGGAGUUUCAGAGGAGGAGCUCCUGGGAAUCGUGGUGGUUACAACAGGAGGGGCAACAUGCCGCAGCGAGGCGGCGGCGGUGGCGGCAGUGGCGGCAUCGGCUACCCGUACCCUCGCGGCCCCGUGUUCCCCAGCCGAGGCGGUUACUCGAACAGAGGGAACUACAGCAGAGGCGGGAUGCCCAACAGAGGGAACUACAACCAGAACUUCAGAGGACGAGGAAACAAUCGUGGCUACAAAAACCAAUCUCAGGGCUACAACCAGUGGCAGCAGGGUUCUGUCCAUGUGAAUGUCCUGUGUGGAAGAGUAAAGGGCCCAACUAAAUGUGUUCCAGUGAUUCCAAUAGGUAUUCCAAAUUCAUUGCUGCUUGUACAUUUCAUACUUGUUCUUUGGGCUUCCAGGAUCACCUUAAUUAGAACUCUCUUAUUUAAAAGUAGGGGAUUGGGAGACAUUGGUAACCCUGAUUGGCUAGAUUCUAUAAACUGGAAAACCAGGUUUUCUCCUCUGUCCUUCGCACCCCCAAGUAUGAAGUAUUGGUGUGCCCGCAAGUGGUGGUCCUUGCAUGGGAUUUUAAGACUGCGUAUGCAGAUAGAGCUGAGCCCUUAAAAGGUUAGGUCCUUAGUCUAAUGGUUCAAAUUCCUUCUGUUGUUAACUUUUUGGAAGACACUCUUUUUAAUUCUCCUCACUUGUAGAGAUUACGGAAAAUGCUUUAAUGCAGAAAACUGUCCAGGAUACCUGUGUCCGUGUUUUCCCCAGAUCUUUCUGCAUCUGUGCUAAAUGCGUACAUGCUUACUCUAUUAGUUUAUAAACAUUUGGAAAAUAGAUUGAGAUCCUUUUGGAUAAUGAGAUGGGACUCCAUAUCAAAAUGGAAAAAUCAACUAGGAAGUAAAUUUAAAUUGUGAAGACAGAAGGAAUAAAAAGGCUCAGUGUGAGCUCUGCUUGUGCCAGUCCAGAGCAUGUAAUUUCUCACCGCCCUGAAGUCCUUUAAAGGCUUGAUAAGAAGCUUAGAGGGAAAUGUAUUGGGUAAUACAGUAUAGCGUUGAGACGUAGCUAUCAGGAUUUGCUCAAUGAACUAGAGCUCUACGGUGUCACCUAAAAUCUGAUGGCUUCUGAAAGAGCAGACUGCUUGCUCUGUUUCAGACUAAAGAGUAAAAAUCCGAUUUUGUUCACUUGAGGAAGAAAACCAUUACAAGAAAAAGGUUUGUUUCAGAAAUAAGCUUUGAAUUCAGAUAGCAAAGCAUAGCUUUCAUUUCAUAGGACUUGUUCCCACAGUCCAAAGGGAAGAAACAUUUCCAUGGAAACUGCUCCAUUAAGAAACCCCGUGUAUACAGGUUGUUGACUUUGGUUUCCUAAGGGGAGGUCCUACCAUAAGUUUAUGGCAUAUGGAACUUAACGGAUGUUAUUCCUAGGAAAGUGGAACAGAUACCAUUUGUUCACAAAAAUGAACAACCGAAGGCUUUUUACAUUAGUGCCUGCUCGUGUUAAUGUAGUCACUGCUGGUUUUGUCAAGAUAGAAAUACUUGGAAAAAAACCUUUAUUCUAGAAAAUGAAGAGUAAGGCAAGCAUAGCUGUUGAAGACUCCUACUUGAAGUAGGAGUUAUAAGCUUCAACGUUACAAGCUUCAACGUGUAAUACCUUGAGGAAGACCUUUGUAAUAAGCUUUGUCCCUAAAGCUUCGUAUUUUAAGAGAAAAAAGGUGGAGCUUCCUGCAUAAAAUCGGCCGCGUGAGACGCCAGCAUUGGGGUAUUGGUAUAUUCUGUUGUCCUCAUUGGAUGACCACUGGACCAUAUUUUAAGAUGCUUCCAAAAACUAUUCUUAUAGAGGACCAUUAAAAAUCAGAAGUUUAGCACUCGCUUUAUUUUUUUCUACUCAUUAAGACUUUCUGUUUACCCAAACUGUAGUACGUAUAUUAACAUGACUUUCAAAGGGGUGCCUUGACCCCCAUCCGCUACAGAUUUUUAUCUAGGAAUAGAAGGAUUCCAACCCCAUUUGAUCCCUAGCUCUUUGCUGAAAAGUGCAUAAACAGGAGUCCUGAAUUUAUUAUAUAGACCUCCUCGCAUUAUAUAAUCGAAGCAAAGGGAAACCAGCGAUGGAGUAGAGGUACGUAGACUAAAAAGAUGCUUGCAAAUCAAAUAAUGGUACUAGGAAUAGUUAAAAUUUUUUGUUGCCAAACUUGGUCAUUAUAAAUCACAAGUCCAAAGAAAAGCUUCUAGUUAAUGUUAAAUUCCCUGAGGUCCUUUUACUGUGAUGGAAAAGGCAAGUAGUCGAGGGAGGGGUAAGGGAAGGGGGAAAUGCAUAGAGCACCAGACAGAUUUAACGAAGCAUUAUAGAUAAGCCACAAAGCGUUUUUAAAACUACUAAUGGCCGCAAUUCUAUUUUAAUCAGCUAUUUAGCUGGUAUCUACUGCUAGAUCACCUAGUGUGAAGUUUUGGAAUUAAUGGAACAGUGAAAGCCGAGAUUCACCUGGAGGUUCCUGCUGUCACGGAAGGUCUUCAAUUUAUGCAGUUACUCUGCUGUGAAAGUGAACUAACCUUGUAACUGGUGAAGGCCUUGGAAAUUUUUGCCAGCCGAGAGGUUUCUCUCACUCAGGGUAAGAUGUAAUCAUAGAAUGGGAGGGCAAGGUGGGAACUGAGUUAACUUAAUCUGAUUGCCUGAUUUUAUACAUCGCCUCCGUUUGCAAACCGAAGCUGAGAACAGGAGUGGCCUGUGCACACAGCUUAUUAAAGGUCCAGUUGGAUCAGUACUCCUCGGUCCCCUCCCCCCCCCCCCCCCCCCCCCCCCCCAUGCAGAUACAGUGCUGCCUCUUAAAACGUGAGUGACUGGUCACUUUGAAUAACAGACUGGAUUCAGCUUUUGAGUUGUGUCUGUAGUGGACAGAUGUUCGUAAACUGCAUUUUCCUUUCCAACAACCUUUCCUCAUUAGUGUUCAAAUCCUGCCUUGGGCGGCCCCUAGAUGAUGAGAAUAUUCUUAGGAGGUGUGGCAUUUGGGAGACCACAUAGCCCGCGCGCCCUGCCCCUGGUGAGGACGGCCACGGGAAAGGUGGGCCUAGGAGGGAAGGGUGCUCCCUUGUGUGACCUGAACGGAGCAUGCACUCCCCACUUACCUUUGAAAAGUGGGACACCCCAGAAUAAAGUUUCAGGAUAUCUUGGUCUUGUUCUGUUUCUCUGGCUCCCCACCAUAAUCCAGCUCUAGGACCAUUAAUAAAUAACCAGAAUCCUGUCCGCUGGUCUGUGUUCAGACUUACCGUCUCUUAACCAGGAAGGGACCCCCUAGCUUGUGUUUUGUCAAAUUAUUUAAGAGAUUUUCCUGAAAAGUCCUGUUGGCUAUUUAUUGAGCCAAAAAAUAAAUAAUUCCAUUGCUUCCAUUCCAAAAGGGAGUUUUUUUCCCGUGAAUGAAUAAAUGCUGUAGACUUGGUUGGUUGGGUGCCUUGUUUUUGUUUCUGUUUUGCCUUUUUACAUGAAAGCUGGUUGGAUUGUAAAUUACUUAUUCACAUUAAUGUAAUAAUAUGUGUGUGAUCCUGUAGUUUUUUGUUUGUACCAAACAAGUUCUGAAAAUGUUUGUGCAUGCCCUGUGUAUAUUUAAAUUCCAUUUAAAAGAAACUGCAUACUUCCAGAAAAAUUAGAGCACUUAAAAACAAUCUUCACUUUUGGAGAGAUCCUACGUGUUCUAAGAAAUCGAAGAAUAUGGUCAGGUGGUGAGUGCGUUUUUAAAACAGCAAUCCGCAAAGUCCUACGGUCCAUUAGUGUUUUAAGGCUUACAGUAGCACCUAACUUUAGAAACCAGGAAGUAUUUCCUCAUUUUUAACAGGAUACAGUAAUGCAGUUGUUACUUGUUUUUAAGGCAAGUUUGCUGACCCAACUGGGAGAGAUUCUGUUUCUCGAAAUGCCAUUACUCACACUCUUACUACAAGGAAACUUUUCUGAGCAUGUGAGGCCGCUAAGUUUGACGAGCCCACUAUCUGCUACGCUGGCCGCAGUCCAAGAGUGAGAAUAAGUGUGUGUUCACACAAGUGUAGGAAAAAGAGACUACAACUAACAUACGCUUUAUUUACUUGAUUGAAAGUCACGGCACGUACAAGGUGUACUAGCGUGGGCCUCAGUGAGUUGGAGCUGGGUUUUCUGUGCUCGAGGUCACCCCACUGCCGCCGUUGCCGUUGGCUGGUUUUCUUUGAGGAUCAAGGUGGGUACUUUCAUAUAAAAUCUUAUUUUUAAUUCCUUCUCUGGCCAUUCUUUCCUGGAUUCUUAGCUUUGCAUAAUUAUACCUACAGUGGAACCUUGUAAGAAAAGAACAGGAGUUAAGUCUUUCUUCAUAGAAAGUUCUUCUAGAGACAAGUGUGAUGUCUGUAGUAACAAAAUUCAAGAGGCCUUACAGAUGACUAUUCCAAGACUGAAAAUACCACCAUUCUGAUUCGGAGUACUGUUUGUGGGGGGGGUAGUUUGAUGUCAAGAAUACCUAUGAGCACAUUAUUAUUAUUAAGGUAUGCUUUACAUAAAAUGAGGACUUUCAUGACCUUUAGCUUAGUUUUACUUGUAGAACCUCAUAUGUAUGAUGUACUCUGGGUCCUCUGGGUCUGGCUCCCCCCGCCCCCCUUAAGAAAACCCAUCAUCAGAUUCAUGCAUGUGUUGUGCCAGUAGUUGUGAACACACUCUUAAAGUAGCAUUUUCAGCUGUGCUGCCAUAAGCCGGAAGUGAGCGUGGAAAAGGUUGAGGCCUUCCCUAAAGUGCAAGUCAUAACUUGGUGUUGACGGAAUGUCCUGCAUUCGUCUGUUCAUCUGACAAAUGGUAUAAAAUGCGUCUACAUACGCACAUUUAAAAGAUAUAAAGGCACAGGGGUGGGGGGAGUCUUCUAGUGGGAGGUGGCUCAGAAAAGAGCAUGUGCUUGAACUGGAGAAACCUAUCACCAUCCUGGAUAUUCUGGAAUUACUUAGUACACAUACCAGCAUCCUAAUGUCACCAAGAUAAAUCCUCCUACUCCAACAUCACAUGAUCUUCUAAUCCUACCUGUCAAAAAGCAUAACAUGACCAUUGUAAUUAAACAUUACAUACUAGUCCAUCUGGGAAAUGUUCACCACAUGUAGAGAAAAACAGAUACUCACUAGUUAACAAAAAAUGUCCAAGGCCAGCCACAACAGAUCCUAAUGAACCAUAUAAUACUGAAUCUCGUGCACAGGGGAUGUUCUCGACAUCCAAAAUUCCUAGGAGCUUAAAGGUCUAGGAUAAAAUAGAAAAGAACCUGGAUUGAACAAAAUAUUUUAUUUCUGGGUGGUUUGGCAAAGAUUAAAAACUCUAGGCCAUGUGCUGUGUGACAACCGUGAACCCACUUACCAUCUUUGGUCAUCGGGCUUUGGCCUACAAUCUGAAUCUCUAAAUGUGGGAAACCUGGAGAAUCUGACCAGAAAACCCCAUUAGAACAGGACAAGUUAAACAUCUAAACGAAUUAAAGUAUGGUAUCAAUACCACAAUUUGCCGGUUGACUGAUUUGGAAAUAAGAGCAUCCGUCACUCUGAUCAUUGAUCAUUUAAACAUCAAUGAAAUUAUCUGGUGGCAAUCUGGUGAUCACUGAAAUUAAGCAACACUUUGCUUCCCAUACCUCGGGAAGCACAGAAUGGUAAAAGUAAAUACUCAGCCGCGCUUGCUUAUGAGACUGUAGUGCCGUUUGUUUUAAAGUCAACAAGGACUUCGGAUUUUAUUGGUAUCAGGUGAACAUCAGUUUUGUUCAUGAAAGUAUUUCACGUGAAGAUAACACGUGCACUAUUUCUUGGUCUGUUUCCUUGCCUGUGAUAAGAAAUUGUGCUGGACUGUAUUUGAGUCUUUGUUGAUAGCACACGGCACUGAGGGGCGGGGGAGGCGUCAUGGGGAAAGCCGUGGAAACGUGCAGGUGGGUUUCUCUGUCAGCUCUGCCACCGACUUCUACAGCCUGUGGGAUAUAUGUGUAUCCUUUAAUGUCUGUGGCCCUCGAUCUAUAAUGAAAGGCAUCAGGCUAGGAGAUGAUUUAAGUUCCUUCGGGUGCUAAGAUGAACCUUGCCUUUUUCUACAGUCUGCAUGGAUGUAUGGACUUGCUCUUCCUGAUUAAAAAACAUACUGCUCAGCUUAGCCUCACAUGCUUAGUGUGAAUAUCCAAUGGAAGUCGAUUUUCGGGGUUUGGGGAAGGCAGGACACAAUUUUUUUUUUUAAAGUCACACUUGCUUCACUCUGGACUCUGGCAUGCCUACGUAAGAAGGACUUAGAAAACAAUGAGACGGUUUCCUAAAACUUGAGUAAAUGCAAGUUUUCGGUAACAGACUUUGAAAAAAGGAAGCAGACUUGUCCAUAUAAAGGUUUCAGUCAUGGGGGUGCCUGGGUGGCUCAGUCGGUUAAGUGUCCCGACCUUGGCUCAGGUCUGAUUGAGUCUGAGCCCCACAUCAGGCUGUCUGCUGUCAGCCCUGCAGCUGUCACUGCCGAACCCACUUCAGAUCCUUUGUCCCCGGCUCUCUGCCCCUCCCCCACUCGCGUUCUCUCUCAGAAAUAAACAUUUAAAAAAAAUAAAGGUUUCAGUUAUGGGGCACCUGGGGUGGCUCAGCUAAGUGUCUGACCCUUGAUUUCGGCGCAGGUCAUGAUCCCAGGGUCACGGAUGGAGCCCCGCAUCCAGCCCUGCACGGACAGCACAGCCUGCUUGCGAUUCUCUCCUCCCCCAAUGUGUGUGUGCACACGCACACUCUCUUAGUAAAUAUUUUAAAGAGUUUCAAUGAAUAAUUUGUGAACAGCAUGGUGUGAGGCAGGAUCCUGUAGGAGGAGGGAAAAGAUCGGAAGGAAUGGGAAAAGGGCAGUAAAUGGCAAAUCAGAUUAAAGGUUGAAUUAUGAAGAUACUCUUGUUUGUAUUUCCUCCUGUGUUUGCUGCUUUGGCUCAAGCUGCUGCCAGGCAAGAAGUGUGAUUUGGUUCACAAUAAAGCUGAAAUUAUGUA